AGCCUACUCUAGCCCGACCAUUACAUCUGCAAAAAAAGACAAAAAUUUACUUAAAACACUAAACUAAAACAUUUUCACGUCUAAGUAUAGGUGAUAGAAAAGACAAUUGGAGCGAUAGACCUUAGUACCGUAAGGGAAAAAUGAAAUAACAAUGAAAACUUAAGCGAAAAACAGCAAAGAUAGACCCUUGUACCUCUUGCAUCAUGAUCUAGCAAGAACAACCAAGCAAAACGAACUUUAAGCUUGCCAUCCCGAAACCCAAGCGAGCUACUCACAAGCAGCUAUCCAUGAGCGAACCCGUCUCUGUAGCAAAAGAGUGGGAAGACUUGUUAGUAGAGGUGAAAAGCCUACCGAGCUGGGUGAUAGCUGGUUGCCCGUGAAACGAAUCUAAGUUCCCCCUUAAUUUUACUCUAAAAGACCUAACCCCCUCCUACGUAGUAAAUUAAGAGCAAUUUAAAGGAGGUACAGCUCCUUUAAAAAAGAACACAAUCUCCCCCAGAGGAUAAGUACCCCCUUUAAAUUCUUGUAGGCCCUCAAGCAGCCAUCAGUAAAGAGUGCGUCAAAGCUCUACCCUAAAAAAAUCUAGAAACUCAUACGACUCCCUCACCCAUAACGGGCUAACCUAUAGAAAUAGGAGAAUUAAUGCUAGAAUAAGUAACUAAGGGAUUCCUUCUAAAGCACAAAUUUACAUACUACAUUAUUAACAGACCUACCAUAUACCAAAACUACUACAAGAUAAAAUAUUACACAACUCUGUUAAACCAACCCAGGUGUGCCUAAUUAGAAAGAUUUAAACCUGUAAAAGGAACUAGGCAAACCCAAGGCCCGACUGUUUACCAAAAACACAGCCUUCAGCGGACCAAGUAUUGAAGGUGAUGCCUGCCCAGUGACACAAAGUUCAACGGCCGCGGUAUCCUAACCGUGCAAAGGUAGCGCAAUCAAUUGUCUCAUAAAUCGAGACUUGUAUGAAUGGCCAAACGAGGUCUUAACUGUCUCUUACAGGUAAUCAGUGAAAUUGAUCUCCCCGUGCAAAAGCAGGGAUACAUCCAUAAGACGAGAAGACCCUGUGGAACUUAAAAACCAGCAGCCACUCCAAACCAAAUCUAACCCCACCAGGCUCACUCAAAAAUAAUCUGGCUCGCAUUUUUUCGGUUGGGGCGACCUUGGAGAAAAACAGAUCCUCCAAAAAUAAGACCACAUAUCUUAACCUAGACCAACCACUCUAAGUACUAAUAGUAACCAGACCCAGCAUAGCUGAUUAAUGAACCAAGCUACCCCAGGGAUAACAGCGCAAUCCCCCUCAAGAGCCCAUAUCGACAGGGGGGUUUACGACCUCGAUGUUGGAUCAGGACAUCCUAAUGGUGCAGCCGCUAUUAAGGGUUCGUUUGUUCAACGAUUAAUUAGUCCUACGUGAUCUGAGUUCAGACCGGAGCAAUCCAGGUCGGUUUCUAUCUAUGAUCAACCUCUCCUAGUACGAAAGGACCGGAGAAGUAAGGCCAAUACUACAAGCACGCCUUCCCCCUAAAGUAAUGAAUAUAUCUAAAUUACCAAAAGGGCCCCCACCACAAUCCUAAACAAGGACAGCUAGC
rnacentral:rRNA from 1 species